GUAGGUGGCAAGCGUUGUCCGGAAUUAUUGGGGCGUAAAGCGCGCGCAGGCGGUUCUUUAAGUCUGAUGUGGGAAGCCCACGGGCUCAACCGUGGAGGGUCAUUGGAAACUGGAGAACUUGAGUACAGAAGAGGAAAGCGGAAUUCCACGUGUAGCGGUGAAAUGCGUAGAGAUGUGGAGGAACACCAGUGGCGAAGGCGGCUUUCUGGUCUGUAACUGACGCUGAGGCGCGAAAGCGUGGGGAGCAAACAGGAUUAGAUACCCUGGUAGUCCACGCCGUAAACGAUGAGUGCUAAGUGUUAGGGGGUUUCCGCCCCUUAGUGCUGCAGCUAACGCAUUAAGCACUCCGCCUGGGGAGUACGGCCGCAAAGGCUG
rnacentral:rRNA from 1 species